GGUUUUCGGGUUUCGGGUUCGGUUUUUGGUUUUCACCUGCGGAUUUGCGGGUUCGGGUACCCGAAAUAUUUCGGGUUUGGGGCGGAUCUUUAAAUACAUCCGCGGAGCUCCAUCGGGUACCCGAAAAUUUGAGCCCACAGCCCAAUAACAGCCCAUUUUAGAACCCUAACUAUAUAACCCCCUCCCCUUCUGGAUCCCCCCGACCCCGACGGCCGUCACUCAGUCCUCACCCCGACCCCCCUCCCUCCCGGAUCCAGAUCCCCCCGAGUCCCCGUCCCCGACGGGCGACGGCCGACGGCCGCCAGGCCAAACGCGGCGACGGCGCGAUGCCCCGACUGGCGACUCCUCUGGCCCCGUGACGCACCCAUCCCCUCCCGCGGCCCACGUCGCACCCAUCCCCAUCCAGCCACCAGCCCUGCUACCCACGACGGAGGCCGGCGGCCGGAGUUCGACGCCGCCGCCCACCAGCGCUGAUUGGCCCCGCUCACUUGGGUGCGGGUUGGGCGUGGGUCUUGACCCGACGUGGAUGACCGCGAGUCGACUCGUGACCUGACUCCUCGCGAGUCCUUCGUUGUCGCCGCCGCAGGGAGGCUUCGGCUCCGCCACCUCCGCCGUCCGCCGUGCUCCUCCUCCGGUCCUCGAGGGACUCAGAUCCAGAUCUGCGGGGAUGGGAAUCGAGCAGAGCAGCGACCGCUGCAGCUGAGUGCGGUCUCUUUCUUCAGAAGCGAGGUCUCAACAACAGCUCAAGAUCCAGCAGAAGGAAGUGAGCAAUGUCGGCUGUUGGUUCUCAAGCUGCUGCUGCAUCUCAAUCUGUUGGUUCUCGUCCUCAAUCUCGUCCACGCCUUGCAGCCAAUUCAGCAACAGCAACACAACCAUCCAAUUCAGCAACACCGGCAAGUGAUUCUGCAACUGUAGGUAAUCUUGAUGUGGUAGAGGUAGAAGUAGAAGAUGAUGCCCCUGCUGCUAAAAAGAGAAAGCUAAGAUCUGAAGUGUCUCUGUUUCUGACUUUCUGUGUUGGUAGCUGGUGGCCUUAAUAGUUUGUCUCUGAGAUCUGUAGAUGAUAUUUUCUGCUUCUCAUCUGCAAUGCCUAUAUUUCAGUGUGCUUGGAAUAAUGAAUGACCUUGGAAUAAUGAAAUGGUGUUGCUGGCUUGCA